rnacentral:tRNA from 1 species
GCGCGAGUGGCGGAAUUGGCAGACGCGAUAGACUUAGGAUCUAUUGGACCUAGUUCGUGCGGGUUCGAGUCCCGCCUCGCGCACCA